GAUGAACGCUGGCGGCGUGCUUAACACAUGCAAGUCGAACGGUGAACGAGGGAGCUUGCUCCCUCCGGAUCAGUGGCGAACGGGUGAGUAACACGUGAGUAACCUGCCCUUGACUCUGGGAUAAGCGUUGGAAACGACGUCUAAUACCGGAUACGACCUUCGGAGGCAUCUCCUGGGGGUGGAAAGAAUUUCGGUCAAGGAUGGACUCGCGGCCUAUCAGCUAGUUGGUGAGGUAAUGGCUCACCAAGGCGACGACGGGUAGCCGGCCUGAGAGGGUGACCGGCCACACUGGGACUGAGACACGGCCCAGACUCCUACGGGAGGCAGCAGUGGGGAAUAUUGCACAAUGGGCGCAAGCCUGAUGCAGCAACGCCGCGUGAGGGACGACGGCCUUCGGGUUGUAAACCUCUUUUAGUAGGGAAGAAGCGAAAGUGACGGUACCUGCAGAAAAAGCACCGGCUAACUACGUGCCAGCCGCCGCAGUAAGAC
rnacentral:rRNA from 1 species